UGGGGUGUCGUCUAAUGGCAAGACAACAGACUCUGGAUCUGUCUAUUGGGGUUCGAAUCCCUGCACCCCAGCCA
rnacentral:tRNA from 2 species